AACUCAGUAGUUUAAUGGCGAAGCGUUAGCCGUGAAUCCAAAGGGUCAUGGGUUCGAUCCCCAGUAGGGUUG
rnacentral:tRNA from 1 species